AUAUCUGAGCUUGGUGGUUUAAGUUGGCGAAUGAAGAAUCCAAAGGAGAAGGAUGAAGAUUAUACAUUGAGUUUGAAUUGCAAGAUUGAAUAGUUUGUGGGAUGGUUAGGAUAUAUGCACUAAAAGGUAUGGAGCUAGAGAGACCACCUUGGAUGCAAGGAGUUGAAUUCUGAUGAAUAUGUUUACAUAAAAAUUUUUGUGCCUUAAAAAAACCCAUCUCUCAUCUACCACAGUUGCUAAGAUUUCAUGAUCAUUAUUUUUAAUGUUAGCAUGUCACCAUAUCACACGUGGGAGGAAAGCAAGCUUCUUGAAUGAUUAAAUUUGCACAGUGUGGUGACCUCUGAAAGAAAGACACGUUCCCUUUAAGACUACUUCACAGAACAAAGCAGAGUCGAAGUCACUAUUAAGCAGCCUCACAACUGUAGUCACUCUUCUACAGUUCACGGAUUCUGGCUGUGAUGUCAUUGACAAAAGAAGAAAAUGCAAAGCAGGUGGUCUUGAAUCAGCUUCCUGGUGAGCAUCAUACUUACAGCUGAGGCCUGAGACCAGCUGCAUUUUGGCCAUGGCUUUACAGAGCGCUCUGGAAGCGGUGUGGCUGGGCCUCCUCCUCAGCUUUCUCUGGAAGGUUGCAGAGAGCAAGGACCAAGUACUUCAGCCUUCCACUGUGGUAUCUUCGGAGGGAGCUGUGGCAGAAAUCUCCUGUAAUCACUCUAUAUCCAAUGCUUACAGUUUCUUCUGGUACCUUCAUCUCCCAGGAUGUGCACCAAGACUCCUUGUUAGGGGCUCAAGCCCUUCUCAGCAGGGACGCUACAACAUGACAUACGAGCGAUUCUCCUCAUCACUGCUCAUCCUCCAUGUGCAGGUGGCAGACGCUGCCACUUACUACUGUGCUCUGCAGGACACAGAGGCAGGGAACCCAUGAAGAGCUGAACAGAAACAGGGAGAGAUCACAACGUUUCCAGGAGGUGGAAAAAGGAUAAGCAAUAGCUGCUUUCUCCCCUGAUGCAGUGUUCUUCAAGCUUUCCCAUUUGGCACUGCCAUCAGAAAAAAAUUGAGUCCAGACACACUAUCUAUUAGCAAAUGUGCACAGGAACAUAUGUUUUUAGGGAGUGAUUCAAUGAUGGUGCUAUAAAUCCAUAUUAAAUAGUCUUGAUGACUGAAACACUUUUGACCCAUUUCUUUUGAGAGCUGAUUAGAUUGUUUUUUAUUUUCCUCAUAAAACAAAUGAUGAUGAACUUAUGAUAGGAGUAAGAGGCAUGUCAAUUCUGCCAUUUUAUUCUUGCUCUCUGUGCUUGCAUCUUAAAUAUUAUCUGCUAGCUUCAGUCUCUUUGCAGGAACAUUUUCAAGGUGUGCCCAUUUUGAAAAGAGUAGUUUAGUUAAUAUUGGAUAAUAUAAUAAGAAGCUGAAAGAGAAUGAGUAAGCGAGUGGCUAUUACCAACAGCCCUGAGUUUGGAACCUCAAUCCUUCCCUCAGGAUACUUUGCAUAUAAUCUAACAUGCAGACCCAGUGAGGACACCAGUGUCAAUCAGUAUAUGAAAUAUUAGUAAAACUCAAUCUCAUUCCUAAUUUUUAAACUGAAAACAAAUACGAAUGGAAAUUGUAAUAUAUUCUUCCCACAUCCUUAUUAACUUAUCUUGGUCUUCCCGCCCAGAUGUGUCCCUCCCACUUUAGAGACCAAUGCCCUAGGGUAGACCAGUGGUUCCUAAACCUGUUUAUCAGAAGUAUCUGGAAUUUUGGGAAAAAAAUUGAUUUUUUUUUUUUGUUGUUGCUAUAUUCCAGAUCAACUGAAUCAGAGUUUGCAAGGGUGGGGCCCAGAAGUCUGUAUUUCCUAUUUAGUUCUCUCUGGUGAUUCUGCUGCUCAGCCAAGUUUGACCUGGGAAUCCCAGACUCUGGACCCCAGAUCUAAGGCUUUAACCACUAUUCUCUACCACCUUUCAGUUAGAAAUAUAGUGCUAGGGAAGGGUUUCAGGAAGUGAUCCCCACAUGCCAGUACUUGCUAUGCAGUAGGUUUUCAGUAGGUAUUUGCAUAUGGAAGAAAAAGUGAGGGGCAGUUACUGACCGCAGAAGAAAAGAGCAUUCUAGUAAUAUUAAAUAUCAUAAAGCUGUACCAUCAUGUCUUAAAUAGCUUGGGUCUGAACUCAAAUUUUUAAGAGCGUCCAAAUAUCUCUAUUGGAUAUAAAUAUAAAUUGGUAUAUGUUUGUACCACUUCUUUAGGCAUAUUCUGGUCUGGAUUGUUGCUUUUUAAAAGUGUGUUAGUCUUAUCUUUUUAACCAAAUGAAAUGUUUGAGAAGAGGGGCCAUGUGUGCUUCCUCUUUAAGAGUCCUGCCCAACGCUAUGUGUACUAUUGUUGCUCAAUAAAUAAUGAAUAAGUAUGUGGCUCUCUCA
rnacentral:lncRNA from 1 species